rnacentral:rRNA from 1 species
UGGGGAAUAUUGCACAAUGGGCGCAAGCCUGAUGCAGCCAUGCCGCGUGUAUGAAGAAGGCCUUCGGGUUGUAAAGUACUUUCAGUCGGGAGGAAGGUGUCAAGGUUAAUAACCUUGGCAAUUGACGUUACCGACAGAAGAAGCACCGGCUAACUCCGUGCCAGCAGCCGCGGUAAUACGGAGGGUGCAAGCGUUAAUCGGAAUUACUGGGCGUAAAGCGCACGCAGGCGGUUUGUUAAGUCAGAUGUGAAAUCCCCGGGCUCAACCUGGGAACUGCAUCUGAUACUGGCAAGCUUGAGUCUCGUAGAGGGGGGUAGAAUUCCAGGUGUAGCGGUGAAAUGCGUAGAGAUCUGGAGGAAUACCGGUGGCGAAGGCGGCCCCCUGGACGAAGACUGACGCUCAGGUGCGAAAGCGUGGGGAGCAAACAGG